UCCCCCGAAUGCCCAUGACACCUUGCUUAGCCACACCCCCACGGGACCUCAGCAGUGACAAACAUUAAGCCAUAUGCGAAAGCUUGACUUAAUUAUAGCUAAGAGGGCCGGUAAAACUCGUGCCAGCCACCGCGGUUAUACGAGGGGCCCAAGUUGAUGAGCCACCGGCGUAGAGCGUGGUUAGGACGAAGAUUACACUAGAGCCAAACACCUUCAAGGCUGUUAUACGCAACCGAAGACAGGAAGCCCAACCACGAAAGUGGCUUUAUAUUAUUUCAACCCACGAAAGCUAGGGGACAAACGGGGAUUAGACACCCUCCUAUGCCUAGCCAUAAACAUUGAUGGCCCAAUACAUCCGUCAUCCGCCUGGGGACUACGAGCAACAGCUUAAAACCCGAAGGACUUGGCGGUGCUUUAGACCCACCUAGAGG
rnacentral:rRNA from 1 species